AUGCCAUCAAUAAAAACAAUACAAAAAAAACCAAUAAAUACUUAAAAACAAUAUUUUUUAAUAUAAUAACAGAAUUUGGGGUAAAACUGACAUUUAUUCACCCAUGGCCUAUUUGGUCCAUACAGUAACCCUGUAGAAUACACAGGGCAUGUAUUAUAGUCUCUCCAGCUGACAAAGUCUUAGUAAUAAAUGACUUGCCCAAAGACACACAAUUAGCAAGUGGCAGAGCCAGGACUUGCUUUCCAUGUUUUCAUGCUCCAAUUCCAGAUUCCUCUUUGGGGAUACACGAAUUAGAGGUAAGCAUAAAGAAAAUCAUAAGACACAAUUAAAAUCACAACCAGUUAAUCUAUAGAAUUUAAACUAUUACUUAUGAUAUCAACUAUAAGACUGACAACUUAUUUAUUACAGUGUAUUACAAAGACACAUCUCAUUGUUACUCUCUGGGAACCAAGCUGGUAAUAAGAUUUUGGUACUUAAUUCAUCAAUAAAUAUUUACUGAGCACACACACGAAAAAAAAAAAAAAGAAUUACAAGCACCCCAGUUACUUUCCCACGCUCUUUCAAUUUAUUCAACCCCCAAAGAACUGCUAUCCCUACUACUAACAACAUACAUUUGUUUACAUUCGCACAUUUCUUGGAUAUCUGGCUGCUUGUCUUAGCAUUAUGGUUAUGAGAUUCAUGCCUAUUACGGGGUGUGCUGUUAAUUUUGCAACCCCUUGCAAGCUCAUUGUAACUCUAGCCCUUCCUCUCUUGUUCUAUGACUCAACACAUUUGGGACACAGAGGUUUAGAAUUGCUGCCCUAAGCAGCUGAGAAAUCAGAGUUCUGUUGUCCUGUCCAUGGGGAAAACACAAAGUAGGGGAUGAGAAAUGGAGCCAAAGAGAUUAGAAGCCCAAAAGAUAGCAAACCGGAGCAAGAAGGAACAGGGCAAGAGGGCCCAGUACGUCUGUCAAUAGUCCAGGAACAUCUACGUUUCCUGGCCAUGUUGGUGGUCAGCUUGUUGUGCUCAAGUCAUGAUCAAUCUCAUCUCACUUCCCCUUCUGCUGUAUUGCUGCUGGGCAAUCAUCUUCAGGGCUAAGAUAGUCUAAGUCAAUAUUAAAAUGCAAAAGACAAAUAAUCAAGUCGUUAUCAGAUUCCCAUCUGGAAGCAAUUAGGAGCCUGAAGGGCUGGGAUUCAAGAAGGGUACACACACUCUAUUGAAGAACUGAAUGGAAGGAAUGGAAAAGCCUUCAAGCCUGGCAUUCUUCCAGAGAGGAAGGAUGUGGUGAUGCCCCACGAGGCCUCUCAGAAUCAAGCGGCAUGAACACCUGGACCCGUAGUGGGCUUUCUGCCAGACAAGAGGUUCAAGAUGCUGGAAGAGAUGGACCCAGAACCUAAACUGGGAAAAAAGAGUGCCCUUCUUCCUUGUUCUGCCCAGGAUCAGAAGCUUCAUUAAUUCAAUGAGCCCCCUGAAGCAACAACAGUGUUGCCUGAGAACUUGGUUCUGAAACUCCUAUGCUGUCUGGAGUAGGCAGUAGGAUGGUAAGAAGAGUCAAAAUAGGUACUGUUGGUGAAGACAUAAAAUGUAUAUUCUUUUUUAGACGUUUGAGGUUUCUGAGACACAACAGAAUAGAAAAUAAGAAAUCAAAAUAAAGUGGUUGUAAGGAAGGACUACGAUAAAGCU
rnacentral:lncRNA from 12 species